CAGCUGCCUUUAGGCACCCAUUUCAGCGAGCUGCUCUGUUCUGCUUAGCUGUAGAUGCUUCCCAAAUUCCCUCUUUGGUGAAACAGGCAUUUGUGCAGGUUCCCCAUAAAAAUGACUGAUUUGGGUUUUACCAGGAGCUCUGGCACUUCUCCACUGCGAGAAAGCAUUGCAUUUACAGAGAGGUUUCUCAAGAUGGGAAUAGUGAAACAAACAUUUCCAAUGUCCUGCAGAACCCUCUGUCAGCCUCCCUGGGCAGGAAUUUCAGCCAUUCUGCAAUGAGAGCCCCUGAAAGGACCCUGCUGCCCUGUGGGACUGCCCAGCUCCCAGCCCUGCUGCUGGGGAAGGUCCCACAGCCAGCAGUAAAUGCCACCAUGAUUGCAAUGAGCCUGGUGAGGUGUGAAAUGAAGAUUAAUCCUUCCCCAGGCCAAGAACUGCCCCUGCCUGAGACACCUGGAGCUCCACACUGCAUUUCCAGGUGUGCUGUGACUUACCUGGUGCUGCUGUGGGAUAUUCAUUGGAAUAUUCAUUGGGAUAUUCAGUGCUGCUUUUUGGACAAACUUCCUGAUACAGUGUUUAUUAGAACCAGUAUUUGCGAGAAGAAACCUGGCUGUGCUCAUUUCUUGCUGAGGUUUCUCUUCCUGCCCUUGUCUCCAGCUCCAGUCCCUCUCUGCAGAGACCUGCCUGACUGCACGGCUGGGAAACAGCCCCAGGGAUGGCUCAGCUCAGGAGUGAUCACAGACAGACACUUGGCACUUCCACCCAAUUCCACACUGCUGCAAAGGGAACAGGGGAAAACCUCAGCUUGUGGCCUCUGACAGAGAGCUGACAGCCUGUCAUGCAGCACGAGCCACUGGGUGCUGCCUCAGCUCUGCCAUCUGCCGUGGUUGCCCUCUUCCCUGCCUACUCCCCGUGCAAGAUUUGGGUGUUUUCUCCACCCUGCUGAGCUUCCUGCACAGCCCAUGCCCUCGUGCCAUGCUGGGGCAGCAUCAGGAGGCUGCUGGGGAGCCCUGACCUGGACCAGAUGGCCAGGAAUGGGAUCCCCCACGUUCUCCUCCCAGUCUGAGAAGACAAGAAAAUAAACAAGGAAAAUGUCUGUGCUGAGGGCAUCUGUUGGCUCCCUCAUAAGCCUCCAGACUGCUGCCUGUUGUGAUGUGUCCCUCCUGAUGGCUCUGCUGUCACACAGCCCUUCCCCUCCCCUCCCACGGGCAGGACCCCAUGGAAAUCCUCAUUCCUGGAGCAUUGGACACGGAUGGGGCAGGAUCCCAUGGAAAUCCUCAUUUCUGGAGGGCUGGACACAAACAGGGCAGGAUCCCAUGGAAAUCCUCAUUCCUGGAGAGUUGGACAGGACAGGAUCCCAUGGAAAUCCUCAUUCCUGGAGGGCUGGAUAUGGAUGGGGCAGGAUCCCAUGGAAAUCCUCAUUCCUGGAGGGAAGGUUGGACAUGGAUGGGUUUGAGUUCCACUUCCUUCCUGUUUUUCUGUUUAAACUGGGAACAAGGAUUAGUGUUUGGUUUGAGAUUUUAAUAUUCAAGAAUAGAUUAAGACAGCAGCCUGAUGUUAGAUGACCAUUAUAUGCCAAAUGCUAUCAAAAUCUCCUGCAGCAUCAAAUCAAGCCCUAAAUCCUAAAAGCUUUAUACUUUUUCCCCCCAGAUUACACCAGAGUAUCACCUUUGCAGCUGCGUUGUUCUUUGUUCAGCAAUAAAUGAGCAAUUGCUGGAGAAAUCCCAGCUGGGGUAGUCCUGGCCCUCCCUUGGCCAAGCCCUGAGUGAAAGGCAGAUUCUCGUGGCUCAAUUACAGAGCCACUAAACAAAAUGGAAAUGUUGAUGUUCAUUAUUGAUUUUAUCCUUUGCUGCUCUGGAAUGGUGCUAGUGGGAGCUGUUUUAAUCAGAUUACCUUAAAACUUACUUACAGAAUGAAGUGCUUAAUUUAUCCCCCCUUUUUUCCUUUCCCAAAGCAAUAAAACAGGAAAGGAUCAGCUGUGCUUCCUGUAGAGCAGCCCUUCUCUUUUUGGUUUUCUUGCUGUGUUUGUGUAAUUCAUCUUUUAUCACUCUCAAAAUCUGUUUUUAGAGCAUUUUGCAUUUGUUAUAUCUCCUCAAGUAAUCGCUCAUAUUGGUUAUGGAAUAGAAUAGACUGUGAUUGUUGGAGAUAUAACUGCAAAAUGUUUCCAAUUUCUGGGAAUAUCAAUUGAAAACUACAUUUACUGAACAUCCAUCUCCAGCUCCCUGUGCUGUCAGGUCAGAGCUCCGUGUCCCUCCAGCCUGCAUGUCUUUGGGAUUCAAGUCAGCCAGGCUGAUUCUGCUUUAACUGAGGAUCUGGGAAGUGCUGCAUUCCGAGUGAUAUAUCCUCUCAUAAUCUGGGAGGUUAAAUGGUUUUUCUGAUUUGAUUCUUUACUGCCUUCCCCAUUUCACAUCAGAUGAAACCGGCUGUGAAAUGGCAGCAAAUGCAAGUGGCACAUUUGUGUGCUGAGUGCCUGCAGCGAGCUGGGGAUGAGGAAUUGGCCUUUAAUUGCCCCUCAUUAGUCAUUUGCUGUGUACAAUGUAACUGGCAAUUGCAGUGGGCAAGGGGGGCUGAGAAAUGCAGCCCCUGUCCUUACCCCGGGCUGGCUGAGGGGCCGGAAGUGGCUCUGACUGAGGCCCCAGAGUGCCCAGUUCCUGCCAGGAGUGAGGCCCUGCAAGCUCUGCCCCUUGGCUGGGCUCAGGGAGGGUGGGUGAGCAUGAUCAGAGAAUCCUGGAAUUGUUUGAGUUGGGAAGGGACCUCAGAGCCCACCCAGUGCCACC